AUCAUCAUCAUCAUCGUCAUAGUUGUUGUUGUUGUUAUUUACUCGGCAUUCGUAUAAAGUAAAAAUAUAAAUAAUUUGUGUUCUUCGGUGUUGUCUCGUGUAAGUGUCUAUAAUUUGUUAAACUACGACAAGCGAUCGGCGAAAAGCAAAAGCAAAAGCAAUCAUAAUAACACUUAUCGAUAUUCAAUUACGAUAUGGCAAAUGUUCCAUUGUGUGCGCAUCGAUUUGAAUGUCAACUGCCCAAGCAAUCGUCUCCCCAACAACUCCAACAACAACAAGUACAACUACAACACCAACAGCAACAAGCCGUUCAACAACAAGAAGAAGAGAAGGCUAGAAACGCCUAGCAGCUGAAAAUUCUUCAAUUCCCAUUCCCAGUGUAACUAACUAAAUUUGGGAAUUUCCAACAACAAAAUUUGAUGAACUCUUGAAAAGAAUGACUACAGAACUCUACAACUAGUUGUUCCGAUUAAAAAAAA